GCCAAGAAAUACGGAAGAUAUCGGUAGCCACAGUGUUGGCAACAUGCCUGUGAGGAGGAGAAGAGAAGGGCCCAGAAGCCACAUUGGCCAUUUGAGGACCUGAAGCUCUGUUCCUGUCAGAUUACUUGCGCCAUUUAGCGUUUCAGUGUUGGUACCUGGUGCUUCAGCAGUGCUAGCAGAGGUUUCAGUGUUGGUACCUGGUGCUUCAGCAGUGCAAGCAGAGGAAAGGUUUUCAAAUAUGUUAGAAGUUUUUGUCAAAAAGUUAUCACUGCCACUGUCCGUGGGGGAGUAUGUUUCAGAUGAGGGAUCCCAGGAAGACAGUUUUGUGCAGCAAACAAGGGGACUUUUUAUCUGAAU
rnacentral:lncRNA from 1 species